rnacentral:rRNA from 1 species
AAAAAAUAGUCCCAGUUCGGAUUGAAGGCUGAAAUUCGCCUUCAUGAAGCCGGAAUUGCUAGUAAUGGCAGGUCAGCAUACUGCCGUGAAUACGUUCCCGGGCCUUGUACACACCGCCCGUCACACCAUGAGAGUUGGGAAUACCCGAAGCCUGUGAGCUAACUUUUAGAGGCAGCAGUCGAAGGUAGAAUCAAUGAUUGGGGUGAAGUCGUAACAAGGUAGC